rnacentral:rRNA from 1 species
UACGUAGGCAGCGAGCGUUGUUCGGAAUUACUGGGCGUAAAGAGUGUGUAGGCGGUGCUCUAAGUUCGGUGUGAAAUCUCUCGGCUUAACUGGGAGGGUGCGCCGGAAACUGGAGUGCUCGAACGUGGGAGAGGAAAGCGGAAUUCCUGGUGUAGCGGUGAAAUGCGUAGAUAUCGGGAGGAACACCUGUGGCGAAGGCGGCUUUCUGGGCCUUACCUGACGCUGAGACGCGAAAGCGUGGGGAGCGAACCGG